GCAAGACUGAAACUCAAAGGAUUGACGGGGGCCCGCACAAGCGGUGGAGCAUGUGGUUUAAUUCGAAGCAACGCGAAGAACUUACCAGGUCUUGACAUCCCGUUGACCGCUCUAGAGAUAGAGUUUUCCCUUCGGGGACAAGGUGACAGGUGGUGCAUGGUUGUCGUCAGCUCGUGUCGUGAGAUGUUGGGUUAAGUCCCGAACGAGCGCAACCCUUGACCUUAGUUGCCAGCAUUCAGUUGGGCACUCUAGGGUGACUGCGGUGACAAACCGGAGGAAGGUGGGGAUGACGUCAAAUCAUCAUGCCCCUUAUGACCUGGGUACACACGUGCUACAAUGGAUGGUACAAAGGGCUGCAAAACCGCGAGGUUUAGCCAAUCCAUAAAGCCAUUCUCAGUUCGGAUUGUAGGCUGCAACUCGCCUACAUGAAGCCGGAAUCGCAGUAAUCGCGGAUCAACAUGCCGCGGUGAAUACGUUCCCGGGCCUUGCACACACCGCCCG
rnacentral:rRNA from 1 species